rnacentral:rRNA from 1 species
CCUACGGGAGGCAGCAGUGGGGGAUAUUGCACAAUGGGGGAAACCCUGAUGCAGCGACGCCGCGUGUGGGAAGACGGUCCUCUGGAUUGUAAACCACUGUCCCCAGGGACGAAGAUGACGGUACCUGGUGAGGAAGCUCCGGCUAACUACGUGCCAGCAGCCGCGGUAAUACGUAGGGAGCGAGCGUUGUCCGUAAUUACUGGGUGUAAAGGGAGCGUAGGCGGGACUGCAAGUUGGGUGUCAAAUCUACCGGCUCAACCGGUAGCCGCACUCAAAACUGCAGUUCUUGAGUGAAGUAGAGGCAGGUGGAAUUCCUAGUGUAGCGGUGAAAUGCGUAGAUAUUAGGAGGAACACCAGUGGCGAAGGCGGCCUGCUGGGCUUUUACUGACGCUGAGGCUCGAAAGUGUGGGGAGCAAACAGGAUUAGAUACCCCUGUAGUC